CGCCGAUCCUUGAGGGAGCCCCAUAACCACUGGAAAAUUGUUUGAGUCGCCACCACCGUCCUAACCCUAGUCUUAGCUCCAUCGUACAUGUCCUUAAUGACUCUGAUGUAGGCUUCUGGCACGCUCUUCACCUCCAAGCACCUCCAUAGCACCUCUAUUGGGACCUUGUCAUACGCCUUCUCCAAGUCGAUAAGCACCAUAUGUAGGUCCUUCUUCUUAUCCCUGAAUUGCU
rnacentral:lncRNA from 1 species